rnacentral:misc_RNA from 1 species
GUGAAUCAUCGAAUUUUUGAACGCAAAUUGCACUCUCCGGUUUUCCGGGAGAGAAUGCCUGUUUGAGGGUCUGUUUAAAACAUAGUCGAGACUGCUGCUGUGGUGGCGCUUCGGGAUUUGGUGAUCUGUCACCUUUCGUUUGGAAGCGACCUAAAAUUGUUGUUACGAUUUAUACGAACGUUUCUAAACAUUUCGUGUCCGUUCACUACAUCGAUAUCUUAUUAGG